rnacentral:lncRNA from 1 species
ACCGCUGCACCGAGCCGGCCUGCAAGCCAUACGUGAGCACGCCCCUCCUAUCUGCCGCAUGCGUGCAUUUUAGCUAUCCGGUGCUCAUCCCUGUUAGCCCAUUAAGGUCUAGAUUCCGCCCGUAGACCCUUUUUUCAAAUCUUCGAAUUUCACAUUUAUCGAGAGAAAAACUAUUUUACAGAAAAGACCCUCAUGAUCAUGCAAUUAAUAACUUGAGAAUGGUGCAUUGGAUGAAAAUAAUUCAGAUAUGUAAAAUGUUUAGAAUUUCAUGUAGAUUAAGGAUUUCCAACUUUCAUGCAUGUUAAAAAUAUUUAAACGUGUUGUUUGCAUUGUUUUGUUUGAUGCCAUAUUAAAAAUGAUUUAAUUCAUAGCAAAAUAACCAUGCAUCACAUUUAAAAACUUUGCACAAUAAAAAUACUUAGAAUUUUGUGUAGAUUGACAACAUCCAACUUUCAACCAUGUUUAAUAUGUUUAAUUUGAUGUUUUAGUCAAUUUGCAUUAAUGCCAUGUCGGAAAUGAUUUAUUUCAUAACUAAUUAACAAAGAUCCGAUUAAAACGUUUUAUAUAUGUCACAUCCCUGACACCUUAAGCAAGUUAGUCUUGUGCUCAUGUCUUCUUUGCAUUUGCAUCUAAGAAUUUUCAACAAGAUCAAAGAAAGAGGUGAAGAAAAACUCAAAACCCUAGCCACUACUUUAAAUAAAGGUAAUCUCAAACUUGUUAAAAUCAAUGAAUCCAGAAUGGCCUCAAGAAAAGUUCAAACUUUCUGAUAAAUCAUGAAAGUAAAUGAGCAAUGAAGAAAACAUUUUUCUUGACACUUCAAGAUUUUAAAUUAAUGCAAAAAGCUACUAGUUUCAAAUUUUAAAUUUGAAAUCAGAAACUUUAAACUUUCAAAAAUGUUGAAAACUUUAGGAAUGGUUUGAAAUAUUCCAACAAAUAUUCUAGGGUGCUUCAAAUAAAUUUUACAAAUUAUUUGGGAGCUGAAAUAAAUAGCAAAUUAUUGAAGUAGCUAAAACAGAAANGGCCGCCGCCAAGCUCGUCGCCGGCGUCAUCUCCGGCCAGAUCAGCCCCGGCUAAGUGCAGAAAUGGAGCUGCGGGAGAUGUGUCGUUCCUCUGGUGCUCUCCGCGCAGCGUUUGGCCCCUUGUGCGCCGUUUCCGAGCCCCUCCGUCGUUCUGGUAGUCGUCGGAGGCUCCCCGCCGGCGAGCACGACCUCGCCGCCGGUGGAUCUCGGCCGGCCUGAGCCACUGACUGGUGGGGCCACCCUCUGGCAAGAUUAGAAAUAAUAAAAAUAAAUCAGUAAAAAUAAUAAGACACUGACAUGUGGGUCCAGUGGGUUUAAUUAACUAAAUAAGAUUAAUCCUAAUCUAAAAUUGACCACAGAGACUAACCAGUGGGUCCCACUAGUCAGGUUUGACUUUCAACGGCCAGUUGGACCUGCUGAUGUCAUGCUGAUGCAGUAAAAGUAUUUUCCAGUAUAAAAAUAAUUCCAGAAAUGUUUAAAACUUAAAAAAAUCAAAGAAAUUAAUCUGUAACUCCAAUGAAAAUAAUUUAUAUAUGAAAAAGUGUCAGAAAAAUUCAAGGAAUCUGAAUAUGCUAUUUUCAAUCAUGUUUGAAAAAGUUAUAGAACCCAAACAUGUAGAUUAAUGAAUAAGUCAAUUCUUAUAAUUACUUUAUAAAUGGAAUUUGGAAAAUAUUCAAAUUUCAUUAUGAAUGACAUGAUCACACAUUGUCCUAAUUACAAAUCAGUACCUUAACAUGACAUCUCAUGCAUGUUAACAUCAAGUUGAUCUGAGCAUCAGGUCGAAUCAAUUAAAUCGGUAUCCGAGAAUACCUCAUUUGAAUUGAUAUUUGAAUGUGAUUCAAAUCAAUUACAAACCUAAUACAUGUUGAUUAUAUUAGUUAACACCUUCCAUUCUCAUGCCAUGCCCAUGCAUCAUCUUGUCUGCAUAUGAUUGUUAUUGAUUGUUGCCAUUCAUUUCGGUAGGCUCCGCACCCCCGGAUUCCACCGAAUAUCCGUCUGACGAAUAUUGUCCCUCCUCUAAGCAACAAGGCAAGCAACCAUUUUGAUCAUUCUGAUAAAUCCUAUAUUCCUGCUCCUGCACUUAUUUAUUGCAUUAGGAUCGAAUGCUUCAACUGCUUUUGCCACGUUAGUUGAACCCACUUCCUUUGCAUGACCUAUCCUUGUCACAGUAAAUAGCCGAACCUUGCAACCUAGCAUACCUGGUAGUUGCUUGAGCCAUGAUGUGCCUUAUCCUGCUAUGCAUGCUAUGCUUAGAGUUGUGUAUGGUCUGUCAUCUGGGAGAUGAACAGAAUUGUGAGAAUGCGUUCGGUAAGCAAAGGUUGUGUGUUGAAUCUGAUUUGGUAAAGGUAUCGGUGAAAGGCUGUGUAGGAGUACAUGGCGGGUUGUUUCAUUGGAACCGUCCUUAGGAACUGAGUUCCGUGUAUGUAAUCCAAGACUAGUUACUACCACAUGUUGGGCCCUGAAAUAUGACCCCGCUCGGCCUAUUAAUCGCUUAGUACUCGGUCCAGGAGUUGCAAGUAGUUUCUGGUGUUUAUAGUCAUGCUGGAGGCCGUGCAUGGUGCUGACCUGAGAGGUGGGCCGUGAUGCGGUAGACAGUGGCACGGUGUACCAAGUGGCACCCGGAUGGUGGGCUUGGGAACCCUGCGCACAUCGUUUGAGGCCGUGGCGGAAACCUCGGCCGGACUUCCGUACGGGUUACUCUCAGAUAGGCGAUAAACCUGGACUAGGUACUAGUGUGGUUAACGGUCGUGGCCGACUCCCCCGCUGGGCUUCCGCUUGAAGGUUGCCGAGGUGCAUGACGUGCACAUGGCGAUAAGUGGCGAGAGCGUGUGUGACGAAGUACACCCCUGCAGGGUUAUGAUCUAUUCGAAUAGCCGCGUCCGCGGAUAUGGACUACUUGGAGACAUAUGUUGUUCAUAGAUAACUUCAAUGGCUACUCAUAAAAUUAUCAAGAUAAGCGUGAGUGUCGUGGACGGCAUUUCCGUAUGGAGACGGAAUGAUUCCACGAUAGUGUAUUGUUGUGGUGUUAGUGGACUCGUGUGCGAGAAAUCAAGUUGUCAAAAUUAUUUAAAAAUGCAAGUUGUCUAGCCACGAGUCAAAUGCUGGCUUUCCGCAUGAAACCCCACAAUACCCUUUUGAUACCUUGCAUGUGUAGUUAGUUAUCCUAAAGUCUUGCUGAGUACCUUCGUACUCAUGUUUGCUUAAUAAAUGUUGCAGAGGUUGCUAAUGACCCUAAUGGAGGGUUCUUCGUAGACAUCGACGACGAGAGUAGCUGGUGUCCCAGCUACGAUCUAGCCCUACGUUGGAUCUGUAGUAUAGUCAGGCCAUGUGCCUUCUAGUUGCCCUGUCUGUACUCAGACAGUUUAAACUCUUCCGCUGGCUUGUAACUGAAUGACUGCUAUUAUUGGUCGUGAGACCCUUAAUGUGUAAUAUUAUGUGUGUGGCUCUUCUGAGCCUCCUAAAUAAAGCUUGUAUGUUUAUGGUUAUGUUGUGAUGCCAUCGAUGUAUCUAUACAUAUCGGUAUGCCAUGCGUACGUGUGUCGUACCUGAUAUAUAUGGGGUUCGAUUACCUAGUCGUGAACUUUAGUAGCACUCCUUACAAGGAAAUGCCCCUUUGUGAUCCAACGAGCCUUGGUAGUUCGCUACUGCUCCGGACACAUUGGUUGACCGGCAUGUGUCCUUCUUAGCUGCUGUGUCUGUCCCCUUUGGGGAAAUGUCACGCGAUGUAAUGGAGUCCUUGUAGCUUGCUACGACUCGUCUACAUUCGCUGUUGACCGACACCGGCUUUAUUGGGUCAUGUAUGCCUGUCCUUGUGCGGUACUGCCACUUUGGUUUAUGACUAGACAUGUCGAUCCGGGUUCUUUGACAUUGGAAUGCUAGCGACACUAUUGCAUACGUGAGUCAAAAGACGCAAACGGUCCCGGCUAAGGUAAGGCUGCAGUCGUGGAGUUAACCGUGCGUGAGACCGCAAAGGGAUGCGAUGUGUUACGGGCUGGAUUCCUAUGGCUUAGGAUUGGGGUCCCGACAAUAUAGGGAAAGUUACAUUUGUGCCCCUAGUUGCGUCAUGCCCAUUUGAUUUGAGCCUAAAUUAAAAAACCCUCGUUUCUGCCCAAGCUCAUUUGCUCCUCUUAUGUUUUUGCCCUUUUACUCUUUGACCGUCACUUUGAAAACUUCAUAACAAAUUCAUACUAACUCAGAAAAAUUCAAUUAAGAUAUCAAUAUGCAAGGAAAAAACAUCAGCUAUAUUUGGACGUCAUUUAUAUUCAUGAAACAAGUGCUGGAAAAUCCACAUCUUAAUUUGAGCUCAAAUGAUGUCAGCAUGAAUAGUAAAAUCCAAAAAAAAAAUUGAAAACGGAUUCAAAAAAAUUCUGAAUCUUUAGUACCAAACAUGGACAAAUCUUUUUAGAACUUGCAAAGUUUCAUGAGGGAAUGACAUUUGUGGAAGUCGUGAAAAAACAAAAUCAACGCUCGACAAUGCUUUUAUUUGGAGCAUUGAUUUUUUUCACGAUUUCCAUGAAUGUAAUUCUAUGACGAAACUUUGCAAUCACCCAAAACAUUUGACACUGUUUGCCACUAAAAAAAUUAGAAUUUUUUAAUGUGUUUUCUAUAUUUUCUAGAUUGUACUAUUCAUGCUGACAUCAUAGCUUAUAUUGAGAUGGGGAAUUUCUAGCACUUUUGUCAUGAAUUUAAAUGGCAUGCACAUAUAGGUGAUGUUUUUCCGAACAUUUUGGUAUCUUAUUUGAUUUUUUUUUGAGUUAGUAUGAAUUUGUUAUGUAGUUUUGAAAGCGAUAGUCAAACAGUCAAAGGGCAAAAGCAUAAGAGGAGCAAACAAGCUUGGACAGAAACAAGGGUUUUUUGAAUUUAGGGGCAAAUGAAAUGGGUGUGUUGAUUGUACAUCAUGUCAUGCAUAUGUUGUGGUGUUUAUUGUGUGUUGAUUGUUGUUCCAAGAUGCUUCAGAGUGUGAGGAUCCGUUCAACUAUGUUGGUUCCUCUACUUCAUGAAUUCGUUCUUCUUCCAAGCAGGAUCUCAGGCAAGAUGAUCAUUUCCCUAGAUACUACUACUAUCAUUUCUAUGCUAGUUGUAUUGUUUCUAUCGCUAUGUCUCCCUGCCUACCACCUCUUGAUGGCAACCUCCCAACAUUGCCAUGAAAAGCCUCUAACCCUUCCACAUCCUAGCAAACUACUGUUUGGCUAUGUUAUGGCUUGCUCAGCCUUCUUUUAGCGUUGCUAGUUACAGGUGUAGUUUCUUUCCAUGUGGCAACAUGGGUUCUUUGUUAUAUCACCAUGUUAUUGCUAUUUAAUUUAAUGCACCUAUGUAGAAACGGGAGGAAGAGAGGAGUACCUCCAGCACGUGUGUUUGUGUGUGGCGGCUCAGACUGGGAACGGGAUGGCUGGAAGCCUCUUUUUAGGUCAGUCCCACUACAUGGCCCUCGGCCCUAAGAGAUAACUGGAUGGGUUGGGCCAUACUGGUUCAACAACCUAUAUACUUGGUAAAAGGUGGAAGUCUUGUUUUGUUCCACUUUUGCCGCCCUAGUUACCUAUGUACCGAUGUUAUGUUCCAUAUUGAGCGAUCCUAACAUGAUUGGGUUUGUUAUGGGGACCCCUUGGCUUCCAUUUUGGGAUAAAACUCAUCUCGCAAGGCCCAACAUUGGUACUAUUUGCUUAAUAACAACUAAUAAAAUUCGCAUAGGGCACUGAUCACCCCAUGGAUAAUUAAUCAACCCCUCGGGCCAUUGAUCCUCAAGAGUGUUGGUCCAACCCAUAGCACUAUGCAGGGCUAACCCAGGGCAACCUGGGUGAUUUCUAUUAGGCCUAUGUAUGUGUCGCUUAUCUGGCGUGUCCUAAGAAUGAGAUAUGCGGCUCUUAUCGGGGCCGUCGCCACGUCGGGCGGUCUUGGUGGACUUUUUUUACUCUUCUCGAGCGUCUUGUGUGAGGGAUUCCGAGGUUACUUUGGGCUAUCUCAAGGUUGAGGUUUUGCACGAGGAAUCUAAGGAGAUCACGAGUUUUCCGUGGGCGAGGUGUUUGACGUAGCUUGUGGUAGUUUGUGAUGGACUAAUUGGAUUAUCUGUAACACCCCAAAAUUUUGGACUUGAUUUAUUUUAUUUAAAUUUUUUGCCUUGGUGUCCUAGGAUUUUCUGCUAUUAGUAGAUCCUUCUUUGUUUUACUUUAUAAAAAUAUUUCUUUCUUACGGAGGAGUUUUGAAAGAUAUUAUUGAUUUGAGUGCUGCCUCAAAUAAUUCCAAUUAUUUCCAAAUCAAAUGAGGCAUUUUUAUAAUAAUUCUUUCAUUUAUUCAAAAAAUUACCUCUAAAUACUUUAAAGGCCUAAUUUGAACUACAACCAUGUGAUAACUUCUUUUAAAAGUUUCACAAAAACUUGGCAAUGACCUAAUAUGUUUCUGGAUGAAUUUUAUGUAAAAAUAUAGCCAAGUGUUUUGGAAAAUUUGAGCACAUUAUUUGAUUUUACAUUCUGGUCCAAUUGGAGUUUUGUACCACAACUCCUGGAUAUACUUCUUCAAAAAUUCUACAAAAAUUUGUAAUGGAAGGGGUUCAUAUAAAUAAGUUUUAUGCCAAAGCAUAUAUUUUUGUUUUGAAAUUUUUUGAGCACUACUUCUUAUUUUCUAUUCUAGACCAGAUUUGCAAUUUGUACUCAAACCAUAUUAUUUUAUUUUUCAAUGCCUUUGGAUUUUUUUUGCUUGUAGUAGACCGUGUAAAACAUUGGAGUACUAGAUUUCAGCCCCAUCUAACUUGUUUAAGACCUUGUUGCAUCAUCAUUUAGUUUUUGUCCAGAAAUGGACUUUUGCUAGAAUUGCAUUAGGGAGUUUUGGGGUUGCCAAAUCUAGCUAUGCCAUCAUUGGUUGCAUCUAAGGAGACCCCUAUCUCGGAGUUUUGGUGGCUAGAAAGAAUCUCUAGAUGCCCUUUGCAUUUUGUCAAACACGUGGUGUCCGUGACCAGAUUUGACAUGCCUUUUUUGUUUGUAUGGUGAAGUUUAACCCAAGACCUAACCAGCAUGUCUAAUACCCAUUUUCCACCCCCAUCGAUGUAUCUGGAGACUUUGGGUUCAAAUCCCUCACCAUGCCAUGCUUUGGCAAUGUGUCGAGCACCUAACAAGCAUGCCAAGAGCGCGCUCUAGUGCACGCGUUUGGCAGCCUAGAGUCCGAGCCGCCGUGUCCCUUCUAGCCUGCUCGUGUGACCUUAGCUAGUUCGAAGAGGCACCCCGACCCCUCCCUAUCUCCAGAUUCGCACGACAGCCUUCGGGAGCACCAUAGCCGUGUUGGCUGUCGAAGCACAAUGCUCCUUCUCCCAUAGCAGCACCGCCCGAGUCGCCCCGUGUGCCACGUGCCCUCGGACACCACCCCUGGAUAGCAAUCCUUGCCUGCCCGCACUGCUGCCACCCUUAGCCGCCCCUGUGCCAUCGUCACGGAUGUCGCCCUCGUUCUUUUCCGAAGAGUGCGCAGGCACUGACAGUUUCGACUAUUUAAGGAGUCCCCCCCGGAGCCACAUAGUAGCCAGCAAACAUCCUAGGAGCCGUCGCAAGGUUCCCCUAGCUCCAAUCGAGCCAGUAGGCCUCGUCUUCCCCAGCUCUGGUGGUUUCACCCGCCGUUGUGCCUAGGGUCGAUUCAACCAAGCCGAAGCCUUCCAGCCCCACCUGAACCCACCUUCGAUCCUUCCUCAGCCGCCUGGAGCUAACCCACCCCUCGGAAUGCGCCUAGAGCUCCCCCUUUAUCGCGCCUCGUCGGACCCGAAGCUCCCUCCGCCGUGGAGGAAGGGUUGCUCGUUCCCGAGCUCUGCUGCAUCCCGAUGUCCCAAAAAUGGGUGCAGAUCAUCCUCCUGAGCAGAUGCAUAGCCGGAGCUUCGCUUGAGGUGCACCGAGUCGCCGGCAAUUGUCAUCGGCGUGAGCUCCCUGCUCACUAUCAACGUGCACGGGAGGAAGAAGGAAGACCCGACAGAUGGGCCCCAUCUGUCGGUGAGUGGCCCGAUUUCCUCAGCCGCGCACCCACAUGAGUGUGUUUCCCCCUCGGGAAGGCGUGGUCGGCCUGGUGCGUCUUCGAUUUGCGAAAGCAUCUUCUGAGCUUAAACGGUUUCUUUCUGUUUCGCUUUUAAAACUGAUUCUUAACCCAACUUUGACUGGCUCUAACUUUUAAAAUAAUAAUCCAAUUGAGUUGAUUCCUUUUCUCACCUCUUUAAAAUUCAGUCUAGUUUAUUUUAGUAUUUAUUUGUAAAUUUUCAAAGGCAACUUUUUGUGUUGUUUUUAUAUUGUGUGUUAAUUAGAAUAUUUUUAAAAAUAGGUCAUGGAGAGAGGAGCAAAAACUUGCAAAAGUUUUAGAGUGAACCGUACCUCUCUACACUUGGAAGGCAAGAAUUCUGAACCUACAUCUAUCUUGGUUGUCUGUGGGUUGCUUGAUGAUAUUAACAUUAUAGUUAUGCUAAACAUGUGGUGUUAUUUUAUGUGACAAUUAUGAUUGUGGCUUCAUGAUUUGGAAGUAAAGUUGUUACAUUUGAGAUGCAUGGGACAACAGUCGCACCUUCCUAUCAUACAUGUCUAUCGGAUGGGAUUCGGUAAGAGUUGGUGUCUUGUGGGGACACGACCGUGGGACUCACAUCUCGUGGGACGAGAGUGGUCGGCAAGGCAUGUUAGGGUACGAGAGGUAGUGAUUCUAGCUGCAUUUUGUUGGUGCUAAUCAUGCACGUAAUACUUAAACCUCGUGAGUCGGCCGUAGAUCGAGUCUUGUCAUUAUGUCACCUUAACUCAUUCGUGCUGCCACGAUCUUCCCAAAAGGGGAUAUGUUUCAGUAGGUUGUAAACCUAUUACGAGGUACACACCAAGUAGAGGGGCCGGGAUGAAGGUAUCCACGACCAUGGACUAAAGCCAGUCAUCCUAUCAGGGGGCAUGGGUGUUUCCGGUCUGGGACCGAGAGGGAAAUGCCUUUCCCUUGUAGAGUGCGGUAUAAAUUUGAUCCCAUGCUAGUUGAGGUUGGAGCCUCCUCGCCUUAUGGUUUUGCCCUGCAACGUAGUCCGGUUGGAGCUGGGCUUCGUAGGGGUAAAAUGGGUGUGUGCUGGUUCUGAGUGUUUACUUCUGAAACACCAUACGCGGGAUUAGUCCGAGUGACUAUUGGAACCCGUGUGCUAUCGGUAAAGAGUACACCCUCUACAGAGUUAAAACUAUUCGAGCAGCCGUGUCCACGGUCUAGGACAACUGGUUGACUAGUCAAGUGUCGGUCUGAGUGUUGGUCUUCGGAGGUAGUUAAAGAAGUAUGGGACUAAUUAGGAAUUAUAGUGGAUGAUUAUAAACAUUAUUUUCUAUGGACUGACCCCUAUGAUUACGAUUGUUGAAUAUCCCUGGGGCGAUUCUACCUCCUGGAUAUUCUUUAUUUAUAUUUCACAUAAGCCCUUCAUGUGGUGUCGCUGAGACGCCCGACUGUGGCAUGUUUAUUAUAAGCCCUUUGUGUGUUAUCGCUCAGAUGCCCGACUGUGGCAUGUUUAUUAUAAGCCCUUUGUGUGGUGUCGCUCAGAUGCCCGACUGUGGCAUGUUUAUUAUUUCAUAUAAGCCCUUUAUGUGGUGUCGCUCAUAUGUCCGACUGUGGCGUCUUUAUUAUUUCAUAUAAGCCCUUUAUGUGGUGUCGCUCAGACGCCCGACUGUGGCAUGUUUAUUAUUUCAUAUAAGCCCUUUAUGUGGUGUCGCUCAGGCGCCCGCCUGUGGCAUGUUUUAAAUUACAUACAUUACUAUUACUCUUAUUGAUUGCUUAUUAAAUUUCAGUAUGAUUAUAUUUUCAUUGCUAGCACUUGAGUAGUACUUUUGGGUUGACGAAGUAUUGUGGCAUUAUUAUAAUUAACCCUGCCAUUUUAUGUUUGUGUCAUGAUGUUUGCGAGUAUAUUCAAAGUAUUCACUCGCUUGUCCCUGGCUAUUGUCUUGGCCAGAUUGCUUGUUUGGAGAGGAGGAACUUGGCGAUAAACCCGGAACCUAGGCAUCGAAGACAGUAGCCGCGUGAGAUAGGAAUUAUCUAGGUCAACUGUUCCUGUGGGAAAUGGAGUCCCAUAGACGCUGGAGAUCCCCGAAGUGCUUCCGCCAUCAACAAGUAGAAACCUUUUGAUGUACUCUAUGUACCACCUCAGUCUUGUACUUCAAGUUUUAUUUUUGCUUGGACAUAUGUAUCAAGGAUUCGUGCACCAGCUAACAGUAUUCGUGGGGCUGGAAUGCAUAAGGGUCAUUUUGAAGGGAAAUUAGAAUCCCCAAAAAUCUGGUCCUAACAACCUUGGUAUCAGAGCGAGGCUGUCCAUUGGCUAAUUCUAUCUUAGCCGGGUCAAUAAACAUAGGAAACCACCCAAUCAAACCUACCCAAACAAGUAGCCUGAAUAGUGUUCGCCAACACCUUUAGACAAUCGGUACCCAAUCUAUCCGACUAGCCCUGUGGUCACACGCCAGUGACUCACGACCUAUUUGUCUUUUCUCACAAUCUUGCGAGAGAAGACUCAGUUUUCCUUUCUAUAAAGGGAAUGAUUGCACAUCGUAACACAUCACGACCACUAACACCUCAAGAUACAAGGCCCCAUUGUCCACAAUGAGACCACUGCUGCAGACCAAGGAGGUUUUGUAGCCAUCCUAGCCAACCUGACUCGUCGUGCCUUUGCCAUGGAAGAGCCUUCGGAGUAAGUUGUAUACAAAGAGCGCACGACUGAUGCCAUUCGUCACUUCUGGGCCACGCUACACAUCUACGGCAGGAGUGUCACCCUAGAGCGUCCCCAUAGGUUCACUAGAAGGACAACUUCCUACGAGCCCAAAGCCAUCCAGCUGGCAGCUCGGGAGGCAAUAGUUCAACUCCGACACAUGUCGCGAGGAGUUAACUGUCGCUCGUUCUACUACUACCCUAGCCGUGAAGGUUAUGGUAGGACAAUCCAAGUCGCGAGCAGAGACCAUGAGCCGACCCCGCCAUGUUGCGCAAGAGGCACUGUACGCUCAGGUCACCCUCGACCUGCUUGCAGCUCGUGAAGAGUUGGCCCGUCUUGACCCAGGGAGGAGAGAAGAGGAGCCCGACGCCAUCAACCCUGUAGUGUUGUUUGGGAGACCGAUUGAGCUCGAGAGGUCUGUCCUAGCUGCUGAACAGAAUCAUGCGCCUAUCUCCCUUGAGGAGCUUCACCGCAUUUUGGGGAUUCCCUCCAAUGGAACGGUAGCCACAACACCCCGCAAUGGACAACACCGCUACCCUAACCUUCUAGCUCCACCUCCUUCCCCGAGCAACCGUGGCGCCGUAGUUCCAGCAAACUCGACGUCCGCAAGACCCACUCACCUAGAUGUUAACGAAGUAUACUAAGCCUUAUCCCUGCUUUCACUACAAGAAUAUGCUAAUACACGACGCCAUUUUUUCGUCGCUACAUCGUCACGGUUUUCAAUUUACGACGAACUCACGACGAAAUACCAAGCGUCGAAAACGGAGCGUCAGAAAUGAACAGCAGCGACGUUUUGAUCAAAAUCGUCGUAACUUUUACGAUGAUUCCUGGGUUGUCGUAACCUUUACGACGAUCCUAAAUCAUCGUUGGCAAUCAAACCCAGUCCUACGUGGCAGUCCUACAUGGCAAAAUUACGACGAAAUCAAAACGUCAGGGUUGAAAUCAGCCCAACCCAUUUCAAUUGAUCACAUGGGCUGGUUUUAUUUUUUUGGCCUUUUCUUAUUGGGCUUCUUUUUGGGCCUUGGCCUAUUUACAGCCAUUUUAGUAUAUUUUUUCGAAAUUUUUUUGGGCCCUAACCUUUUAGUGCGCAAAUACAUUUGGUCCAAUUUCAGUUUUGGCCUUUUUUCAUUUUUGAAUUCAGAAUUUUUUUUCCAGAACUUGGUUUCAUUUCUAUUUAUUGGGCCUUUUCAACCAAUUAUUUGUCCAAUAUUAAAUGCAGCACUAUUUCAUAUUCAAAUCAAGAAAACUCCAAGUCGAAUUAAAAUCAUCCAUCAUAUAACAUCACAUAAUACAUCUCCCAGGUUUACAUAACACAAUAACUGAUCUCAUGGAUACAUUUCCUUACACAGGAAUAUAACAAAAACGGACAGAAUAUAGCAAAUACAUUUCCUCCAGCUUUCCAUUCACCCGUAUCGCGCCAGCGUACUUCUCUUGAAAACAGAUCCAUAGCAAUGGCCUUCAGCAUGAUCAACAAUGUGGAGGAAACAAUUCAACCGCUGUAAAGAUAAGAAUGAUAAUUAAUAAUCCAUUUCUUCCAAGUAGGAGAAGAUAUUAGUAUUAGUUCACAUUAUGCAAGUUCAACCACUGAGGUAUACCAAUUUCCAGGUCUAUACAGAGAUAUAUUUAUUUAAAUUCUGCAAAUAUUGCCAAAGAUAACUCGGGUUAAAUGUUGUUUUAUCAGCAGGGGACAAACCAUUUAAAUUCUGUAAAAGGCUACACCACUGAACAAUGGAGUAACAACCUAUUUAUUUAAACAAAAGGAGGCAUCAAUUGAGGACAUAGUAAAUAAGUCCAGUUAUCCAAAUACUAAAUGUACUGUGAUUGUGAGGUCUCAAUUUCUGUGUUGCCAGAGUAAGGUCUUUGUUCCGUGCGUUAGAUAUGAUGAAAUCAUAUAUAAAUGCAUGACAAAUAGUGCAAACUACAGUAGUCACCAUAUAUUUAUAUGGCAAUAUAUCUCAUUGUGGGUUCUUGCAGCUCUGCCUGAUAUUAUUCUCCUAACAAUGUCCGGGUUUGAAUUGAACAAGAGUGUUCUUGUGCUCGUCCUCAGGACGUACUAGCUAGAGGGCUGAACCAUGAGAACAGUGUAUCAACUUAGGAGAUGUAAACUAUUGUCUGUUUCAGUGAAUCUAUGCUCAAUUUCAUGUUCGUUGGCUGCACUAGGAAUGGUGAACAUGGGACUGCAGAAGAACAGGGGACAGGGCCAGCAUUACCAGGUCCUGUGGGAUGCACGUGAGAAUGCUUCCAAGGAGAACGUUAGCCCCACCAAAGAAUCUGAUGAGGUUCAAGACAAUGGGUAAGUAAUUGAAUGGACAUCUUUUAUGUACUAGCAUUUUUAGUGGCUUCUGUAUUUUAAAAAUAUCUUCUGUGUACAAUCAUUGGCUGAGUCCCUUUAUGUAUUUAAGUUAAAUCUCCAUUUGCACCUGAGUGAAAAUCUGAAUUCGUUCUAGCUGUUACAUUCCAUUAGCCUUGUCAUUCUUGUAAAAGCUUGAUUUAUUUUAUUUACAGCCUUGUCAUGUAUAAAGAUAAGCAUGAUAAAUCCAUUUCUUUUUGAGGAUGCAAAAGUUUAAAAAGAGUGUUACCAUUCAGAGACACAGUCCUCGCAGAAAAUAUGUUUACAGCGAAGGAGGACAUGAACAUACAUCUUUUCCUGAUAGAUGGCACACAUAUCACCAGCAACGAUUGCCUGCAGCGAUUGCCUGCAGUGAGUUCCACCAACACACAGAUACAUUAGCAAUCAGAAAAUUCUUAGCUCCUGACUGAAAUAGCAAAACAGACAGAAGAACUAAUAUGUUAUCCAUAUUCACUAGAUUGUGGACUACUGAGAACUUAUAUACUGGAAUAGAAGGUAAAUAACAAAACAAUAAUGCGGUGUAGUCAUAUUUAUAUAAUAUAAGAAGAGCAACACAGAAUUAGAAACUUCCUCAGGUUUUGUGUUGCAAUUAAAAAUAAGAGUUAAGUGACACUGAAACUUCCAAUGCGGUAACCCGAUAUUUCGAGCGGUAACCAAAUCGUUGAUUUGAACACAAACAAUGAAUAGUACUACAAAUGCAUUAUGCCAGCAUACAUUUAUUAUACUGACUUGGUAGAUAAUAGAAAGUAAUUCUUAUUCAGGAAUUUUAAAUAUGAAAGCAAACAGAUGCUCGAUCUUGAUAACAACUUAAAUUUCCAAGUUCAGGAAUGAGAAGCUGAAUUGUACAUGGUUGUGAUGGAAUUUAGCAUCUCUAGCACUAUUACUGAGCAUCUACACCAUCAGAACUAAUAUGUGAAGCGAAAUCAAGGGUAUUUAGUAAUUGUUAUGCUCACCUAAGAGAAUAAGAGGUUGCAUGAUAGGCAAAAGUACCAAAUCAAAUAUGGAAUACCUUAACUGUAAAUUGCCUAACAAUAGGGGCAUCUCUUUUUUAUGAAAAAGGAGUAAACGGAACAAUGAGCGGUACAUCAGCACGCCAUAGUUUCAUAAAUUGGAUGACUUGUAUCCUUACUGAUCUCAUGAAAAAAGGCAGAGCUAAUCCACACUAAACUUCACAUCCCUACCAAUCACACAGGAGGAAAGUGCACAGACCUCAUCACCAUCUUUUAUACCAAAUGCAAGCAACGUUGCCUUAUCAUCCGUCAUUUUCUCAUCCUUGAAGCAUAAGCAGAAGUGGCUCCACACGUGCUGCCUAAAACAAGCAAAGCAAUAACCUUAAAUGUUAAGUUCCCACCACAAAAAUUUAAUUCAAACAAACAAUGACAGUAAAUUCCACUCUAAAUUGCCCAUUAUUCAUUACUUGCCAGAGAAAAAUAAACCUCUCUUCAAUUAUUUCAAUUAUCCACAUGGCAUCCAAGCGCAAUUAAAAGCAAACAACUUGCUAAAUCACACACCCCUUGUAUACGUGGCAUACCAAGUGACAGCAUUGUAUGUCGUGGUAUAGAGUGACGAACACACCUUGUAUGGCUGCCUUGAGCUCCCACAGCGGCGGACCGGGCGAUUCGCACAUCUGCAUUAACCAGAAGCAACACACGCAGCGUCACAUACUUGCAAUCCCCACGCCGCGGCAGGAAUCAAUCUAGGGCAAAACCAAACCACCCACAUAGUUCGGGGGGAAUUAAACGGAAGGGGGCGGGAUUUGGUACCGAAGUAGGAAUCGUCGAGCUUGCGGACGGUGAGGCGUAGGGGCGGCUCGGGGAGGCGGUGGUAGGAGAACCUUGUUUGUCCGCAUGCGAGCACGCUGACGCAGUCCACCUUGGCUGCACGGGCGGCGAUGUCCUCGAGGUCGAGGGCGAACUCAAUGUCGGAAGAGCCCAUGGACGACGAGCGGGUGGCGGCCGACGGCAUCACGGAGCAUCCACGGAGGGGGAGGGGUUUGCCAGGGUUGGUGGUGGUGGCGCCCUUAUCUCGGCGAGGCUAUUGCGGAGUGGCCGGCCUCCAAAUCCAUGUAGCUCGCGGGAGGCUCGACCCAGGAGUCGUAGAGCGACGGCGCGGUGGGGAGGUCGGGGUAGGGGCUAGGGUUACGUGUGCGCUGUGGGAGAGGGCGCCGACGUGGUAGGUGUGUGUUGUGGGAGAGGGAGACGGCGGCGAGGUAGGUGUGCGCUGUGGGAGAGGAAGGAGGUGGCGGCGGCGAGGAGAUGGGGAGUAGAGAGGGGUCUGAGCUAGGGUUUGGGCUGCGGUUGGGGUUUUCUUUUUUUCAUUUUAAUCUAUAGGCAUGGAUGGAUGGAUGUAAGAUGGUGAGAUAGAUGGAUGGAUGGGUGGGCACCAUGUCAUCGAUUCAUGGGAAGAGAUUUGAUUGGUUCGAAAAAUCAGUGAUUUACAAUAGUUUUCGAGUACUAAAAAUAGAGGUAUUUUAUGAAGGCGAGUACUAUGCGUCGGCGCGCCGGCCCAAUAGUUGGGCCGAUCACGUCUCAGCCGCCCGAUGCAGCGAACCGCUGUCGUACGAUCUAUACGUGACCCCAUCAUCAUAACGUUCGUCAUUAACACGCAAUCGCGUAACUUCCCAUGGGUCCAAAAUCAGCGGCCGGCCUUUCCUCAUCCUCCAACUACCUCCAAACACAUGGUCGUACUACUACUCACAAGCAUGCCUUCCUAGAAAAAAUAGAGACAAUGCAGCAUCACGUGAACGCCUGAAGGCACCGUCGGCCGGCCACCCUUAGAGUAGCCGCUGGCCACAGCCGCCGCAACGGCUCACAUCAAUUCAUCUAGGCUCAUGCAGUUUUUAUGGAAACAAGAGCCUCCUCAAAGAUUUUCGUCGUGGGUCUUUUGUUGAAGCUUUUUAAAUCUAUGGUCGAAGCUUUUUUUACAACGGUUGCAACUUUUUCCAUCAUGCUUGAAGCUAUUUGAAUCUAUGAUCGAAGCUUUUUUUACAACGGUUGCGACUUCUUCUGUUAUGCUUGAAGCUUUUUUAAUCUCCGGUUGAAGCUUCUUGAAUCUAUGGUUGAAGAUUUUUUUACACUGGUUGCAACUUUUUUUCUUACAUAGUGCCCGCUUGAAGCUUUUUUAAUCUCCGGCUGAAACUUCUUGAAUCUAUGGUUCAAGCUUUUUCUACACUAGUUGCAACAUUUUUUCUUAUAUAGUGCUCGCUUGAAGCUUUUUUAAUCUCCGAUUGAAGCUUUUUUAUGGUCGGUUGUAUCUUCCUCAGAGGACGGUAGCAUCUUUGCAGUUGCACAUAACUAGUUGUAGCACCCCCACUUAGAAUUGGUUGUCGCACCUCGCCGAGAACUGUUGUAGCGAACCAUGGUUGUAGCAUUUACCGGCAGUGCCAGCAUCAACCCAACUGACGCGACAAUGUUACCAGGAAAAUUAAUAAACUAGUAAUACGACAAUUAUUUUAAAUAAGUGUUCUUAGAAAUGGGUCAUCAUGUGUGAAGAUUCAUGUCUUUCAAGCAAAAUGAUCAAUCUUAUGGCCACAUUCAUGACAUAGUUUGUUGAAAUGAUAUAAUAUUAUGCACAAGGGUGCAUAUUGGAAUGACAAACAAUGUUGAUUAAGGAAGUUUUCAUUUUCCUUGUAUGAAAAAUUCAUUUUCCAUUUUUCAAGUGACCAAAAUGAGUUUUUUUGUGAAGGAUCUACCAUAUAUUUGUUUCAAAAUUGGAUCAAAUCAUUUUUAUAAAAUACUAGUCCAUAUUUAAUGUACAAUUGACAAAAUGGUUGGGUGUUAAAAGAUUUUAGCCCCCUCUCGUGAAAAAGACAAAUUUAUGUUGAUUCAGCCGGAAGCGGGUUAAAUUUGAACUGCAUCUGCAUUAUCGUUUGCUCUUUAUUUUUCCCAAAAAUCAUUUAUAGGUAUAUAAGUAUCUAUUUAAUCAGAAAUACAUGGUGUGGUGCCUUGACAUCGAGGUUUGGAUGGUGGUCAAGGGCCCCAACUCCAGAGCGCGUGAACUUGCAUGCCAGUCGCAUGGUCACCGCCUAACCGUUGCAUUGCCACGCGUUCUAGGUGGAAUAGUCAUGUCUGGUGGGUUGGACAAUCCCUCGAUAGGUGUUAGCAAGAAUAAUACAAUAGAAUAAUCUCAUGAGGAGACUGAACUAAGCAAAAACAUGAAUUAGCAGCCAAGUGUUUGAUUAGCGGUGCGGGUAAUUCACAUAGACAAUGGGCCUAAAUUUUGGCUGAGGAUGAUCAUCUACUAAGGAGACUCUCUUGGCAAAUUUUUAUCUCAAAUGGAUGAAUCUAGGUGGCACUUGCUUUGCAAAGUAACACAUUGUGCAGAAAUAUGGAUGUUGAAGCUAGGAUCAAAUGAAUGAAUGGAUUGAGCUGAAAUUUGGUGUAUGAUGUUAAUUUGGGCAUAUGAAGGCAGUGUAUAAAAAUUAUACCAUUUGGACAUGCCAAAGUGACACUUCCUUCACAAUGUGCCAAUCCGGACAGAAAAUGGUAAUUAAAACUGGGCUCACAUAGAUGAUUGGAUUGAGCUUAAAUUUGGAGGAGGAUGAUAAUUUGGGCACAUUAAGGUACUGUAAAAAAUUCAUAAAAUUUGGAUAAAUAAAAAUUGUACUUCCUUCACAAUGCUCUCUACUGAACAGAAUAUUGGGAAAAAUAUUGAGAGAAAUUGGCUGAAUUAAAUGAGCUAAAAUUUGGUGCAGUGAGGUUAUAUGGUCAGUAUCAUCCCGUGGUAAAUUUUUCUUGAACUAUAAAGCAAUAUAAAACAUAGUUGCUUCACAAAAUGAAAAUAUUACCAAAAACAAAGAUUGGAUGAUGAGCUCACAUGAAUUGUUAGAUGUGGCUAAAAUUUUAUGGAGAGCUACGUUUUGGGCACAUAGAUGAUGUGGAAAAAAUUCAACCCAUCAAGAUAUUCCUAUCUAGUACUUCCUUCACAAAGCUGUUAGCUGAACACAAACUUUGGAAAUUUGCUGAGAAAGAUUUACUAGGCAAAUCGUUACGAAAGUUUUCAUGAGGAAAUGAUUUGGAUAGGAAAGAGUGCCCAAACAAUAUGAGGGUAAUCAAAGAAAUAGAAAUAACACUUCCUUCACAAAGUGCUAUUCUGAACAGAAUAGGAAAAUGAAUAUUUUUGAAUUAUUUUUGAACUAUGGAAGGGAGGGUUUUCACAUAUUUGAGAAAUAUAUAGUCCAAAGUAUUUAUGAGAAUUUUUCGAGAAUUUCCGGAAUUAUAGAAUAGUAGGUUGCUUCACAAACUAGGAUCAGGUGGGAUAGAAUGGACCCACGAGUGACAUGUCAACAUAGUUAGAACAUGUUACAACAUUUUUACAAUCGUCGUAAAAGUUAUGACGAUCUCAUCUUAUGCGGUUACGACGUUUUGACUCACAUCGUCGUAAUUUAUAUGUAGAUUUGAUCCCCUCAAACGGUUUACGACGAUCUCGGAUGAAAUCGUCAUAGAUUUAUGACGAAUUCAUCAACGACAUUUGAAAAAACAUCACAUGUGAGCAUAUUUCUUGUAGUAAGUGUUCUCUUGGGUGUAAUGUAUGAGCUGGUAUUUUCAUAAAAUAAAUGGGCAAGCUGUUUUGUACCAUUAUUUUUAUAAGUACCACAAAUAGCCAUCUGUGUUUGCUUUUGGGCUACAUAGCUAUAGUUGGACAUAACCACGGGAAGCCGAUUCCUAAUAGACCACCACAGUAAUAGGUCACAUUUCAUGAACUAUUAUAUGUGGCCUUGACCGAACCAUGUUAGAGCGAAGCCUACUACGAGACCAACCCAACCUACAUCUUGUGUCCCAACCCCGCCUAUAUAAGGGUCACCCAGUGAUCUUUCCAGCAUCCCUCACCUUGUGCACUACAUUCACAGCCUUUUACCAUGCUACCCCAAGGGAGUUACCUCAGAACUCCGGAUGCAACUCCGGGCAGUUUUGUCAAAGUAUUGUGGGAUUUUACCUGCACUACCAUGGGUUCUUUCCUUCCACCCCGGUACGAGCUGUUCAAAUCAAGGAUCACUUCCACUACCUCGAAAUAUUGGGCAGUUGUGCACAUGUUCCUAGUGGACCCUAACCAAAACCCCACGGAAGUCUGCUUCAGUGGAAAAUCUAUGCCUACCCUAGAAAUGGCCAUAGAGGUUGCUGCCUACGAAUCGGUUACUCGUCUUCGAUAUGCCGUACCAUAUGCGAGUGAAAGGGGUACUUUUAUUUUCCGAGCCGUGUAGUGCCCGGAGGAGCAGCGUCUUUUUCGGGAACCCGUUCAGAUAGAGACCCCGUAUUGAUCAGGCUCGUGCAAUAUGUCAUCGCUCAAGAGUGCUUGACACAACACGUGACCGAUUUUUCUCCAGAACCUCGCCAUCCAAAACCCUUAGAUCGCCAUUGGCGAACCCCUAAGGAUAGACCCAGCAGGACGCAUUUUGUGUGUCCUCCAACCGCUCGCCCCUGAAGACAAAGUAGAUAUUCCACUGCCAGGAAUAUUCCCUCAUGAUCGUUAGAUUUUUCUUUUGCGUGUUCCGUAAACGCCUAGUUGUAUCUGCUAGUAUAGUUAUGAUUGUGUAAUGCGAUGGUUGUACCUUGCCUUGUAUAUUACUGCAUGCACGUGUUUUAUUUUAGUUGUGUGAUCGCUGCGGUUUUUACCUUGAAUUGCUUUUCUUGGGAUGACCCUUGCGUGAUUAUUUUUCUUAAUACAACUACUGCUACAAAAAUAUUUUUCAACAAGAUUUCAUUCGCAUGCCAAUCGGCUCACAAGCACACUCACUCUGCCAAUACACUAAGAGCAGAACCACACACACAGAACCCUAGCUAAUUGCCUCACUAACACCACGGUUUCUCCGAAAGGAAUACACCAUGAGUAUUUAUUUUUGCAAAAAUGCUACCAGCACACUAGCAGCCACCCCUGCAUUUUUUUGCGCUCGCCUAGUCUUCAUGCUCAUCGCCACUACGGAGAGCCGCCACCCGAGCAGCGGCAUCGCGACGAUCAUCCUGUAUCAUCACGCAUAGGAGCAUUGAGAAUCCGAUCAAUGCGCUGUUAUUCCAGCCAGAAGGACUAUCAUCCACCCCGGGUGCUCGUCCACCAUUGGAGCCUCGCUUCGAGCUCCUGCAAACAGAGAGGACGAGGAGGAGAAAGCAGGAAGAGUGAUGCCGAGUGUGAGGUAGAGGAGGGAACGACGUGGUCGUUUUAUAGCCCGAGAUUGGUGUGCGAUGGACGCAGUCCACCAGCACCGCUCGUCACUCGAUCGUUGGUGUUCGGAAACGAAUCUGCGAGCAGUGCCAACAAAGCGCUCGCCCGCGACGCGAGUGCUUGCUGCGCCGGCAGCUAGAGCACCGCGCACUACCACGGUACGGCUCUAGAAGCCUGCGAGCUAGAAGCCACGCGUGGAGAAAGCAACAGAAAGCGAGACAGGGAGAGGAGAUAAGAGAGCCGGAGGAAGAAGAAAAGACUGACCGUGGGCCCUGGACCCACGUGUCAGCGAGAGAGAACACUAUGCACUCGGGUACGACAAGCAAUUCGGAAAUUGGAAAUUUUCCUUUUUCAAAAAUCUUGUCGUAGCCAUCUGUAGCAACACCUCGUUCGCCCCAAACAUAGCAUUAGUUUGUAGCCCCUGUACCAUCACAGUUGCACCAAUUAUCGUUGUUACUAUAACCUCCGGGAGUAAUUAUUUUUGUGUAGAUACUAGAGUGUGGUAGGAGUUUAUAUUUUCCAACGUCCCUAACAAAUCUCGAGGACGAGAUUUUUCUUAAGGGGGUAGAGUUUGUAACACCCCAAAAUUUUGGGCAUGAUUUAUUUUANCUUAAGGAGGAGUUUUGAAAGAUAUUAUUGAUUUGAGUGCUGCCCCAAAUAAUUCCAUUUAUUUCCAAAUCAAAUGAUGCAUUUUUAUAAUAUUUCUUUAAAGUUCAUUUAUUAAAAUUUUUACCUCUAAAUACUUUAAAGGCCUAAUUUGAACUACAACCAUCUGAUAACUUCUUUUAAAAGUUUCACAAAAACUUGGCAGUGACCUAAUAUGUUUCUGGAUCAAUAUUAUGUAAAAAAUACAACAAAGUGUUUUGGAAAAUUUGAGCACGUUAUUUGAUUUUACAUUCUGGUCCAAUUAGAGUUUUGUACUACAACCCCUGGAUAUACUUCUUAAAAAAUUCUACAAAUAUUUGUAAUGGUCAAGGGGUUCAUAUAAAUGAGUUUUAUGCAAAAACAUAUAUUGGUCUUUUGAAAAUUUAGAGCACUACCUCUUAUUUUCUAUUAUGGACCAGAUUUGCAAUUUGCACUACAACCAUAUUAUUUUAUUUUCCAAUGCCUUUGGAAAUUUUUGUGCUUGUAGUAGACUGUGCAAAACCCUUAAGUACUAGAUUUCAGCCCCAUCUAACUUGUUUAAGACCCUAUUGCAUCAUCAUUUAGUUUCUGUCCAGAAAUGAACUUUUGCUAGAAUUGCAUUAAGAAGUUUUUGGGUUGCCAAAUAUAGUUAUGCCAUCAUUGGUUGCAUCCAAGGAGACCCCUAUCUGGGAGCUUUUGUGUCUAGAAAGCAUCUCUAGAUGCCCUUGGCAUUUUGUCAAACACAUGGUGUCCCUGACUAGAUUUGACAUGUCUUUUUGUUUGUAUGGUGAAGUUUAACCCAGGACCUAACCGGCAUGUCUACUACCCAUUUGCCACCCCCAUCGAUGGAUCUGGAGACUUUGGGUUCCAACCCUUGGCCAUGGCAUGCUCUGGCAAUGUGUCGAGCAACUAAGAGGCAUGCCAAGAGCGCGCUCUGGAGCACGCGUUUGGCAGCCUAGCGCCCGAGCCGCCGCGUCCCUUCUAGCCCGCACGUGUGAUCUUAGCUCGUUCGAAGAAGCACCCCCGACCCCUUCCUAUUGUCAGAUUCGCACGACAGCCUCCGGGAGCACCGUGGCCGUGCCACUCAUCUAAGACAGCAUCAACUGCUGCUACACAACGCUCCUUCUGCCAUGGCAACGCCGCCCGAGCCACCCCCAUGUGCCACCUCCCCUCGGACACCACCCCUGCAUAACAAUCCUUGCCUCCCCGCACUGCUGCCACCCUUCGCCAUCCCUAUGCCAUCGCCAGGGAUGUCGCUGAUGUUCUUAUCCCAAGACCGCCGUGGCACAAGUUCUUUUGGCUAUUUAAGGAGGCCCCCCGGAGCCACAUAGUAGCCAACAAACAUCCUAGGAGCUGUAGCAAGGUUGCCCUAGCUCCAAUUGAGCCAGUAGGCCUCGUCUUCCCCAUCUCCGGUGGUUUCACCCGCCGUUGUGCGUCGGGUCAAUUCGGCCGAGCCGAAGUCUUCUAGCCCCACCUGAAUCCACCUUCGAUCCUUGCUCAACCGCCUGGAGCUACCCCACCCCUCGGAUGCGGAUAGAGCUCCCCCUUGCUCGCGCCUCGUCGGACCCGAAGCUCCCUCCGCCGUGGAGGAAGGGUUACUCGCUCCCGAGCUCCGCCGCGUCCCCAAGAACCAAAAAUGGGUGAGGAUCAUCAUUCUGAGCAGAUGCAUAGCCGGAGCUUCGCCCGAGGUGCACCGAGUUGCCGACAAUUCCCGCCGGACUGAGCUCCCCGCUCACUGUCAACGUGCGUGGGACGAAGAAGGAAGACCCGACAGAUGGGCCCCAUCUGUCGGUGAUUGGCCCGAUUUCCUCAGCUGCGCACCCGCGUGAGUGUGUUUCCCCCUCGAGAAGGCGUCGUCGGUCUGGUGCGUCUUCCAUUUGCGAAAGCGUAUUCUGAGCUGAAACGUUUUCUUUCUGUUUUGAUUUUCAAACAGAUUCUUGACACAACUUUGACUGGCUCUAACUUUUAAAAUAAUAAUCCAAUUGAGUUGAUUCCUUUUCUCAGCUCUUUCAAAUUCUGUCUCGUUUAUUUUAGUAUUUAUUUGAAAAUUUGUAAGACUACUUUAUGUGUUGUUUUUAUAUUGUGUGUUAAUUAGAAUAUUUUUAAAAAUAGGUCAUGGAGAGAGGAGCAAAAAGUUGCAAAAUUUUUAGAGUGAACCCUACCUCUCUACACUUGGAAGGCAAGCAUUCUGAACCUACAUCUAUAUUCGUUGUGUGUGGGUUGCUUCAUGAGAAUAACUUUAUAGUUAUGCUAAACAUGUGGUGUUAUUUUAUGUGACAAUCAUGCUUGUUGCUUCAUGAUUUGAAAGUAAAGUUGUUACAUUUGAGAUGCAUGGGACAACAGUCACACCUUCCCAUCAUACAUGUAUCCGGAUAAGAUUCAGUAACAGUCGGUGUCUUGUGGGGACACGACCCUGGGACUGACAUCUCGUGGGACGAGAGUGGUCACCAAGGCAUGUUAGGGUACGACAGGUAGUGACCGUGUCUGCAUUUUGUUGGUGAUAAUGAUGGAGGUAAUACUUAAACCUCCUCAGUCAACCGUAGAUCAAGUCUUGUCAGUAUGUCACCUUAACCCAUUCGUGCUGCCAUGAUCUUCCCAAAAGGGGAUAUGGUUCAGUAGGUCGUAAACCUAUUACGAGGUUUGCACCAAGUAAAGGGGAUGAGAUGAAAGUAUCCAUGACCAUGGACUAAAUCCAGUCAUCGGUCAGGGGGCAUGGGUGUUUCUGGUUUGGGACCGAGAGGGAAAGGCCUUCCCUUGUAGCGCGCGGUAUAAAUUUGAUCCCAUGCUAGUCGAGGUUAGAGCCUCCCCGUCUUAUGGUUUUGCCCUGCAGCGUAGUGUGGUUGGAGCUGGGCUUCGUCAGGUAAAAUGGGUGUGUGCUGGUUCUGAGUGUUUACUUCUGAAACACCGUACGCGGGAUUAGUCCGAGUGACUAUUGGAACCCGUGGGCUGUGGGUAAAGAGUACACCCUCUACAGAGUUAAAACUAUUCGAGUAACCGUGUCCACGGUCAAGGACGAUUGGUUGACUAGUCAAGUGUCGGUCUGAGUGUCGGUCUUCGAAGGUAGUUAAAGAAGUAUGGGAUUAAUUAGGAAUUAUGGUGGAUGAUUAUAAACAUUAUUUUCUCUGGACUAACCCCUAUGAUUAUGAUUGUUGAAUAUCCCUGGGAUGGUUCUACCUCCUGGAUAUUCUUCAUUUAUAUUUCAUCUAAGCCCUUUAUGUGGUGUCGCUGAGACGCCCGACUGUGGCAUGUUUAUUAUAAGCCCUUUAUGUGGUGUCGCUCAGACGCCCGACUGUGGCAUGUUUAUUAUUUCAUAUAAGCCCUUUAUGUGGUGUCGCUCAGAUGCCCGACUAUGGCAUGUUUAUUAUUACAUAUAAGCCCUUUAUGUGGUGUCGUUCAGACAACCCACUCUGGCAUGUUUAUUAUUUCAUAUAAGCCCUUUAUGUGGUGUCGCUCAGACGCUCGACUGUGGCAUGUUUUAAAUUACAUACGUUACUAUUACUCUUAUUGAUUGCUUAUUAAAUUUCAGUAUGAUUAUAUUUUCAUUGCUAGUACUUGAGUAGUACUUCAGCGUUGACGAAGUAUUGUGGCAUUAUUAUAAUUAACCCUGCCAAUUUAUGUUUGUUUCAUGAUGUUUGCGAGUACAUUAAAAGUACUCACUGGCUUGUCCCUGGCUAUUGUCUUGGCCAGAUUGCGUGUUUGGAGAGGAGGAACUCGGCGUUAAACCCAUAACCUAGGCACCGAAGACAGGAGCCACGUGAGAUAGGAGUUAUCCAUGUCAGCUGUUCCUGUGGGAAAUGGAGUCCGAUAGACGUUGGAGACCCUCGAACUGCUUCUGCCAUCAACCAAUAGAAACCUUUUGAUGUACUCUAUGGACCACCUCAGUCUUGUACUUCAAGUUUGUAUUUUUUCUAGGACAUAUGUAUCAAGGAAUCGUGCACCAGCUAACAGUAUUCCUGGGGCUGGAAUGCACAAGGGCCAUUUUGAAGGGAAAUUAAAAUCCCCAAAAAUCCGGUCCCGACAGUAUCCCUGGCGGGUUAAAUCUUUCUGAGAGCCGUGCCCGCAGUUAUGUGGCAACUUGGAAAAUUUGUUUAACACCCGGUCAUAGCAAACCUGAAGUAAAUUUAAUUAAAAUAUGCCAACUAUGUGCGUGACCAUGACUAUCUCUUCUCGCAAGCUCUAUAUCCGAGAGACGACACAGUGGGCUUAUGUUUGACGUAAGUAGGUGUUCAAGAUUACUUCGAGAUUAUUAUUAGUUCACAUACAUUAUGCAUAGACCACCCCCUCUUAUUCUUGUACUCGUAAGUUAGCCACCCAAAUAAAUGCUUAGUCGCUUGCUGUAGCCUCACCACUUAACCAUACCUCACCCAUUAAGCUUUCCUUGUCUUGAUACCUUUGGAAAUGAGAUUGCUGAGUCCCCUAUGGCUCAUAGAUCACUACAACAAUAGUUGCAUGUGUACGUAAAGCGAUACUUUUACGUGAGCACGACGAUUGUUCUAGUUCCUUCUUCUUCAUCGCUCUAGGAUGGGUUCCAGGCUCAUAGCCUGGGAUAGCAAGGAUGAACGUCAAUCUUUUAUUAUUUGAUUUCGUCCGUAGUCGGACCCUGCUCUUCUACAUGGUGAUUUAAUAUAUUGUUGUAUCGUGUUGUUCGUGUUGUAGCAUGUGGCAAGUGCAAGCCAAUUACAUAUACUCAUCUCUUCUGUACAUGUACUUGUAAUGAUAUCCAUUUAAAAAACCCUAUGAUGUGUGCUUCUAUCCCUGUCGAGGCCCUCCAGCCAAAAUAAGGUUAGGAUCGCAUCUUGGGCAUUACAAGUUGGUAUCGGAGAAGUACCGACGUAGGAGCCCCCAUGAUUGAUCGAACGUGGAUGAGUCAAGUCUAGCAAAAAACUAAUUUGAGUCUAGAUAUAUAUUGGAGAGUAGGAUACAUUUUAGUCCUCUUUUAUGCUUUGGUGAGGAUUAUUGAUGUAAGAAUUUUAAUUCUACUCCUCUUCUCGCUCAAUUUUUUUAGGACCAUGCGGGUAUUUUGGAAUUUAUAUGAUGUCGAUGUGAUAGAGUUGCAACUUGGUGCCUGUUGUCUGACUUGAUUUCUUUUGGGGAGUUGAGCUCUAGGGGAUUCUUGACACAUCACUAUCGUUCAGUUUCCUUAGUAUCUCAGGACGGAGGAUGUUCGAAAUAGCUUCAAUACUCUUUGUGGUGACAGUAGUUUGGCAUGACCCAGUACUUGGGAGAGCGUCCAUAUGUAGUGCCAUAAUUGGUAUCAUUGGGAUUACGAGGGUUUGAGGUAGAUGAGUUUCUGAGAUCUCUGGUUAUGUGUUGAUAGAUGUGAUACGCUGGACGGGUAGUGUUAUUGCUAGGACUUGAGUGAUGGAUUUUACUCCUUGUAUCCGUGGACCCGAUUGCAUAACCGGAAAAUUUCGGAAGUUCUUAGGUGGGAAUUCUAGUAGUUAUCUAGUAUUAUCUUUCAACAGAUGCAUGCCGUGAGGUUGGGGUUCGACAUAUAGUGGAUUCGUUUGUUCACAGUUUUUCUUACAAAGGAUAGUCUUGAUAUAUGUCGUCGGAUAUGCUUCGUCAAGCCUUGUAGUUUGGUACGCUAGGGAGCAUAUUCGAGCAUCAUUUCAAUAUGACAAUCGAAUGUACGAUCGAGCCCGUGCGAUCCUUAUUACAAAAAUUAUGAGCGAAAUCUCUGUCAUAUAUUUGUUUCUGGUUUGUUUCGUAAGCCUCAUCCUUUGUUUUGCCGGAGUAUGGUAAUUUGAGUUGCUUUGAUGUCAAGUGGUGAUUUCAUAUCUUUUCUAAGUGGUGUUCUCAUAUUUCUGUGGGAGUGCUAAUUAAUUCUUUUUCUCAAUCAAGUUGUCUUAUCAAUUCUUUUCGAACCAGAGUCAUCAUGUCAAUUCGUUCAAUCCAGAGUGCUUCUCCUCCGGUUAAUUCAAUCUUCCCCAAUAUUUGCAAGAUCCAUCCUCUUAUUUCUUUCCAAAGUUGUCUUAUAUGUCCCAAGUUGUCUUAGUUUUUUCCACUCUCCCGCCCUUUUACUUCUGUGAUUCAAUUAUCAUCCAAGUGUCUUUGUUUCAUUAUUACUUCUGGUAUCUUCUCUUGCGUGUUGCAUCCGGUGAUUUGAUGUGAAGAUGCUCAGUGUUACGUCCAUCAUUCUUCAUUCUAGUUUUCUUCUCCGACGGAUUCAAUUCAAGCUCUGGGUGUUCAUCAUAUCAUUUUCAUUCGUUCAGUGGUUUCCGUGUUGGAAAUUCUUGUUCAAGCCUAUCUUGUUCAUUCAUCCCUCUCUAUUCUAUCAGGAGUGUUGAAGUUAUCUCUUAAUUUGCAUAUCGGGACUUUCCGGGACUAUUAUUCCUUGUUCAGGCCACAUUUAAACUUACCUAGAAUUUCAUGUAGUUCCAUGAUAUCUUGUGAAUUCAUGUUUUAACAUGCUUGUGGGUGUCCUUGUCAUACAUUUCACAUUCAUGACAUAUUAUCUUGUGAUGAUCAUAUGUUUUAGACCAUAACUCCGUUCGAGAUGAUCCAUAUAUGUUAACCGACUAGAAUGUCGUGUAGAAUGUCAUGGUCCACUUUAUUUUGGUGUUUAAUAAAUAUAAAGUGUGUUUGAUUUAGAUUUAAACCAAUUUCGAAAUUAACAUGUGGGAUCAUUUCGGAAAUACUAUAUGUUGUUUUUGACCUCAUUUAACAUGCUUAGGUAGUGUAGUUUAUUUAUGCUUCACCUCUUGCCAUGCUUAAUAACAUUUAAUAUUGUGGUGUACCUAAACGGGAGUAAAAUAAGUAAUCCAAAAGUGGAGUUCAUCAAUAUGCAACUCGUUGCAUAUAUAGCUUCACUUAAUGCGUAGAGUUUGAUUGUGGUGCUUGUCAUGCCUUCAAUAAUUAAACCGUACAUGCAACAUAUUUGAUUGUGCAUCAUGUCAUGCAUAUGUUGUGGUGUUUAUUGUGUGCUGAUUGUUGUUUCCGGAUUGUUUAUUCUCGAUAUAGUUCCAAACCACUUCGGAGUGUGAGGAUCCAUUCGACUACAUUGGUUCGUCUACUUCACACACUAGUAAGCAUGCAAGUGCAACACACGUAUCAUAAUCUAUAAUAAGACAUUAUUUAAUCUUAUUUAUCAGUUCUUUGUCAUGUCAUUUAAAUGUGUCUCAUGCACAUGAUGAGAGUGCGCGUGUAACACGAUUCGAAAACAUGUCUUCACAUAUAAUUCACAAUCACAUAAAUGUACUAUCAUUAGGUACAAAAAUAUUAAAAAACAACUGAGAAACAAUAUCUACUAUUUGUUCUUUGAUGAUUAUUCCGUUUGUUUCUACAUAUAAUUUUUUUUAGAGAUUUUAUUAACAAAUUACAUAUGAAUGUAAAAAUUUGGUAGUAGAAAAGGUCACAACGACGUAGAACUCAGCACACAGUCGGACACAUGCCCCGAUCAGGAAAAGAAACUGAACAACUCGGUUUGCUCCACUCGCUCACUCCACAUGUGGAUAAGCUCCACUCUCCCUCAUAGAACACGACUGCCCCUCUUCCACUGCAUCCCCACCGGCGGCGAGACGAACACCCACCCGUGGCCGGUCCAUGGCGGCCGCCCUUCCUUAGCCGCCGCGCCAGUCGCUGGCCUAUGCCCCCCCUCUUGCCGUUCGCCUACACCAGCCUCNCAUGAGCCUAUCCACCUUCUCUCGUGCGACACGAACUUCCAUCCCCGUGCUCGGGACGCCAUUAAGGUCCGGUUGCAGCUCUUCUUCUCCCCUCGAUCCGGAUGCUCUGCUCUCCAACCCGAUCUAUUCCAAGCGAAAGAUUUUUUUUCAUCCUCUCAUGCCCAUUGCCUCUAGCAAAUGUCAUCUCCCAGCUCAUGGCCUCGCCCCCAUGUUUUUUUCUUACUGCACUAAGCUGCAAAAGGACACAAAAGCUUUUCUAUCGGUUAAUUUAAUUGGUCACAAACUCACAAUACUCCAUACACAAUCAGUGAUAAUAAGAUUGCCCCUUUCGUGUUUUCUGCGGAAAGUAGCCUCCAUGCUUCUCAAAUCUGGGUGAUGUUUUGUUCAUAGACUUUCAUCCAAAGAGAAGCACAUCGAUGGAGAAAAAAGACGUAGUCAAAGGGAAUUUGUUUCAGGUACAUACUCUGUACUAAUUAAAACAUAGUAUGAGCAAGGUUGACACAAUGAUGUUCUAUCUCUAAAUGUUUUCUAAAAACUGACCUUAUAACUUUUAUGUGGUACUUUCAUCUAAAGAGAAGCACAUCCAUGUAGCUAAUUUGUUGAUCAUAAUUACCAAUGGACAUGUAGCUAAUUUGUUGCUCUAUGUCCUACUGCCAUAGAGCAGAUCGAGAUGCGAGCUGGUGGACACGAUGAGGGAGCAAGCAUCUUGAAUUGGACAGUCGAUCUGUUCUAGGGAGGAGUUCACAGCUUGCCUAUUUCCUCCAUUGCUGCAGGUAUGUUGAUUGAUUUUUUUAUGCGCCAACUAUUAUCAUAUAGGUUACAUUUUUGAGGCAACCACUAUGGGAUAAAACUGAUUGAUGUGUGGAUUUGAAUUAAGCACAUCUUGAUGGUCCAUCUUUUGAAGCAAUGAAAGUCCAUCUAUUGAUGCGAUCUAUGAUGCUUCCUUCAAUGUAUGGGAUAUUGUCUUGAGAUUCAUUUUCUUCAUACUUUAAAAUAUGCACCAAAAAUCGCUUCCUCAGUUCAAAACAAUCCUACAUAUGCAUUAGACAACAUUGUUAUACCAAGUUUGUAUGUGCAAUGUGUAUACAAAUAAGCAUGGUGUAAAUACUCACCUCGGGUAUAGGAAAAUAUAGCUUUCCAUCGCACAAUGAGUGCAUGUUGUUAAAAACUAAAUACCCCGACAAGGCACUGCAUGUAUGAAAUAAACACAUAAUGUGUGUUGAAUGAAUGAAUUAUUUAAUAUUGAAUGCAUUGAAAAGAUUCAUACCAGUGUGAGUUUGUUGGAACAACCGGAACUAUACAUUCCCAUUUAGAGAUAUCGUCCUUGAAUGCAGGAUUUGCAACUUGAAGUGCGAGGUUUAGGUUACUGACCACGGUUUUAAGUAUAUUCUUUCCCAAAGUAGGUACUGGUAUUGGAUCAAAAAUUGAGAUAAUUUUUUUAUCUUGAUCCAAGACAAACAAUAGAAACAGCCCAAAAAUGUCCCAAGGCAAUAAAAUUUGCAAUGAUGCAUGCAUUUAUAAAUACAUGAAAUAUUAAUUAAAACCAAAUAAACCACUGUUUUAAACGAAAAAUUAAAAUCUUACCAUAUCACACUGUGAGAUAUGAUACUCAUUGCUGUCAGGCCAGCUAUGAAAGAAUUGUUUAAACGUAGCACUGUCCAUAUUUUCAUGAUGACUUGGGUCUCGUACAUAUUGGAACAUGGACUAAUAUAAAAAUAAGAAAACAAUAGUGCUAUGAGAAAAAAUAUGUAAAACGCAAUUAUAAUAACUUACACAAAAGUUUAGAUCCAUGUAGUGAGAUGGAAUGUCUCUAAGAAGCUGGACUUCGUGCCGCGCUAGUAUCCGCACAACCAUGUUAAAGCAAUCAAUAUCCAUAUAUUCAUCAUUGUUUAAUAUGUUUUUUAUUUGUCUCAACUUUAAGCUGAUAGGGUAAGGAUCAGAGCUUUUCACCCAUUCGCUUCUGUAAAAUCAAAAUUUCGUCAAUUAUAAUGACAUGAGAGUAAUUUAUUAGAAUACAAAAUGAACUAAAAGAACAAGGCUUACUCUAGUAAAGCGUCAUCAUCAAUCAUACUGAUGAACAAGCACAGUUCGUCUAUUAAGUCAUCGUUUGUUGGGUUGACACACGGUGAAAGGAUAUAUGACUGUGAGAUGAGCUCAACAUCUAAUGAUGUGUUCGAUGUUUUGAGAUUAUGAGGGCGUCCAUCCAGAAUCAUACAAUCCAUGGGAUCUAUAUUGAUUUCGUCAUCUUCCAUGUCUCGAUUUCUUAUAUUAUCAUCAUUCAAUUCCGAGUCCACUAAAAUGACAGCUAGUUUUGUUCUAAAAUCUGUCAUAUGAUCCUAUUAAAGUAGAAAUAAGAGUUAGAUAAUGAUACAACAUAGAAUAAGUAUUACAUAAAAAUGAUCCUAUUAAAGUAGAAAUAAGAGUUAAAUAAUGAUACAACAUAGAAUAAGUAUAUAGCUGCAAAUGAUCCUAUUUUCAGAAUCUUUCGGAUGAGAUCUAACCUAAGAUUCGGAGACCUCUUAACCCUGUGAAACAAGUUUUCAUCUGUAUCAUAAAUAUAUAGCUGCAAAUGUCGAGGGCCAUUAUCAGAAGACAAUAGAUCGUCAAGAGCGUGGUACAACCGCCCACAUGCACGAAAUGUAUAUACACCGGUCCCUGCUGCGGUGCUGACUCGACGAUCAAGUGUGACUCCAAGACUUGUGAAAGAGAAAUGAGAGUUGAAAUACCGUAUAUUUUCUCUGAAAUAUUUAGCAUCCUCAUCAUCCCGACUUGUAAACAACCUUUUCAACUCUUCAGGAACAUCUGGAGUAAAUAUAUCCACUUUCCCCUUUUUGCAACAAAACGCAGGCCCCUCGUAUUGAAUCCUCAAAGCUCCACAGUGGCGGCAAUCACUAACUUUCCUAAGCACAUGGUGUUUUUUUGGGCAGGUUCAUGUAAACCCUGUCAUAAAUAUCAGUACUGGGAGUCGCAUGACCAUCCUGUUGAUCCACUCGGUAGGAUUCAAAAGCAACUUCUGGAUAAGAUUAGACACUUGCAUUAAUCAAACUGCAUGUAGAAAUCAUAGUAUCAUAUGUUAUAGUUUACUGCUAACUCAUGAUAGCAACAAUAUACCUCGUUCCGCGAAUAUCCUAGCUUCUUCAUCAUGGUUAACGGCUGUAGUUUCUAUCUGGUUCCUAUCUCCAUCGCAUUCUAGUACCGAAGAUAUGAAUAAAUCAUUAAGGGUUAGAAAUCAUGUUAAGUUCAUGUUCAACAACAAUGAGGAGAUGAAACACAAAAGGACAUAAUGCACACCAUCAAUGUUGACGGUGUGGACAUCGGGCUCCAGUAUUCCGUAUGCAUGUUCUUCAUGGUCGUUGCCUGAAAACAUUUUGUGUCCCAAUGAGUAAGUACCUUUGGUUGUAACCCUUUGUCAUGUACCCGUUUUAGAAAAAAAUGCACAACACCUUGAUUAUGAGUGGUUUGCCCUGCAGCUGGUGUAGGCUGCAUCACUGGACCAUUAUCAUCAGAAUGCGCUAUACCUGAAACUAUAGGAGAGGGCCAAAUUAAAGAACAAAGUCAAACCUGACCAGUUUUAGGAAAAAACACACAACACCUUGAUUAUGAGUGGUUUGCCCUGGAGCUGGUGUAGGCUGCAUCACUGGACCAUUAUCAUCAGAAUGCGCUAUACCUGAAACUAUAGGAGAGGGCCAAAUUAAAGAAGAAAGUCAAACCUGAGAAUUUAGCACCAUUAAUAAGUCACAGAAGUAACCUCUUGUUUUAAAAGAAUCUUCUUGGAUACGUAGGUUGAGUCGUGGGUUCUCUACGACUUCCAUUUGUGUGACUCUUACUUGUCCAGACUUUCGUUGAAUCUGGUAUGCAUCAUUUCUGUGCAACCAAUCGGAUUCGUCGCCAUCAUAAAUAUUCUCGUUUUCGUCUAGAAGCUCUCUGGAAUUAGGUACUGCACCACCCGCACAUGUUAUGUUAGCCAGUUGUGUGACUGCUGAUUGUCCGGUAGCAUUGACUUGUGUUACAAGGUUACUGCCAUCAAGGACGACAACAUUAUGCUUUUUCUGGUCACGGGCCUGUCGCUGUCGCUUUAAUAUUAUCUCUCUAUUAUGUGCAUACCGCUCACGUUCAAUGCGGUUCUUAAUAUCACUACGGUCUGAAUAGACAAAGAAUAUAUCGUUAAAUAACAAUACAUAUGGGCCUUAUAUCAUUUAGUUGAUGGUCAUUACCUUGUGAUAUAGUCAGCUGUGCGUCUGCCGCACUGUUCUCGGCAGCGGCAGUCUUCUUCUGUUUAUAGGCCUCACGCCGUCUCUUAUUAAUCUCAUCCCUAUUUUGUCCAUACCGCUCUCUAUCCCUUUGCCUUUUUACUUCUUUAGGGUCUGUAAUAAAUGAGACAAUUUAGCAGUCUAGCAAGAAAACAAAAAUAUACUGAUUAGGUACUGAUCAUCACCCAACGAUUGGGAGUUGCUUAUAUCCUGGAAGGGGGUGCGUGUCCCGUUGGGAGUGGUUGGUGUCAUACGAACUCCGCAAACUCUGUUUAUGUGAAAAAUGUCAUCAUACCAUUGUACAGGAAGGUAUAGAGUUCCAUGUUGAACUACAUCCUAUAAUACAAAGUUGUACUAAGCUUAAGACACUUAUUUUGGAAUGGAGGGAGUACAUGCAUGUAUAUAGUUAUAUAUAGUGUGACGGCCAGAUUGCUCAAGUGCGAAUAUAUAUUUUUACAAUUUAAUAUCAUCAUUAGUACACGAACUUGCACAUCAUUCACAAAUUCAUACACAAGCUUGAAAAAUUCAUAAAAGUGGGCACAGAACUCACUUACAGUUUAAUAUCAUCACUGGUACACGAACUUGCACAACAUUAACAAAUUAAUGCUUGAAAAAGUCAUAAAAGUGGCGACAGAACUCACUAUACUGUACCAAUUUGGUACAAAAUAAUGUAGCGGCUGCUAGUUCGGACGCCACGGCAGCGAGUGCACCAGCGCUCCUUAUUUCAAUAAAACCCCAUGAUUAAAUGACACAUAAUCCAGAAUUUCUAUGAAGUUAAACUGUUCAGUGGAUCAAGAUGUAGUUGUUAUGAUAAUUUUUUGCAGAAAGACAACCAGAUCAAUCAAAGCAAUAGAUUAUUAAUUAUUUAGAACAAUGCAUCAUGAUGUAGUUGUUAUGAUAAUAUCUUGCAGAAAGACAACCAGAUCAGUCAAAGCAAUAGAUGGAUCUGAACGCAGAGAGAAGGCAACACCUUAUACGGCGUAUAGCUUGUCGUUGCGGCCUUGGACGGGUGCCUCGGCGGCUGCAGCUGUAUUGGUGAAGACCUCGUCGUCGCGGCCGUUGGAGGAUGCGUCGACGUUUGCAGCUCUGUUGGUGGAGAGGUCGUCGUAGCGGCUGUUGGUUGAUGCGUCGACGGCUGCGUCUCGACGGCGACGACGACGCACGAACUGCUGGACGUGAAUUAUUUGUUGCUGUUUGUUUCCCUUACUUGCUGUUUGUUUCCGUAAUAAGUUGCUGGACGUGACGUGAAUUCUGCUUCUUUCUGUUUUAUGAUUUCCCUUAUUUCCUGUUUGUUUCCGUAAUAAGUUGCUAGACGUGACGUGAAUUCAGCUACUUUCUGUUAUAUAUGAUUUCCCUUAUUUGCUGUUUGUUACCAUAUAAUUUUCGAAGGAAGGUGUUGGACGUGAACGGGGGGAUAUAUGAUUUCCCUUAUUUGCUGUUUGUUACCAUAUAAUUUUCGAAGGAAGGUGCUGCACGUGAACGGGGGGAUAUUUUUGGUUGCUCUGGUAGAGUUUUCGUCCGUCAAACUAAUAUGGUAGACGCACAUUUCUGGUGGGCCUGCCACAAAUUGAAUGGUUAGAUAUAAUUACAAGAUCUGAUCGUAAGGUUAUAAUUCCUCUGCGGGAAAUUGUGUAGCUUUGCUUGGG